rnacentral:rRNA from 1 species
GACAGAGGAGCCAAGCGUUGUCCGGAUUGACUGGGCGUAAAGCGCACGCAGGCGGGUGCGCGCGUGGGGUGUGAAAUCUGGCCGCUUAACGGCCAGGCGCCAUCCCAUACGGCCGGACUGGAGCCUUGCAGAGGUCGGUGGAAUUGCCGGUGUAGUGGUGAAAUGCGUAGAGAUCGGCAGGAACACCCAGGGGGAAACCAGCCGACUGGGCAUCUGCUGACGCUGAGGUGCGAGAGCGUGGGGAGCGAACCGG